rfam:Stereum hirsutum FP-91666 SS1 unplaced genomic scaffold STEHIscaffold_2, whole genome shotgun sequence.
CCUCCGAUAGCUCAAUUGGUAGAGCGCUCAGUUACUGUGCUUUGUGUCAAAGAUAUCAGUUCAUAGCCAAGAUAUGCUGGUUCGAAUCCAGCUCGGAGGA